rnacentral:rRNA from 1 species
AACGAACGCUGGCGGCAUGCCUAACACAUGCAAGUCGAACGAGACCUUCGGGUCUAGUGGCGCACGGGUGCGUAACGCGUGGGAAACUGCCCUUAGGUUCGGAAUAACUCCCCGAAAGGGGUGCUAAUACCGGAUAAUGUCUUCGGACCAAAGAUUUAUCGCCUUUGGAUGGGCCCGCGUUGGAUUAGCUAGUUGGUAGGGUAAAAGCCUACCAAGGCGACGAUCCAUAGCUGGUCUGAGAGGAUGAUCAGCCACACUGGGACUGAGACACGGCCCAGACUCCUACGGGAAGCAGCAGUGGGGAAUAUUGGACAAUGGGCGAAAGCCUGAUGCAGCAAUGCCGCGUGAGUGAUGAAGGCCUUAGGGUUGUAAAGCUCUUUUACCCGGGAUGAUAAUGACAGUACCGGGAGAAUAAGCUCCGGCUAACUCCGUG